AGGACGAACGCUGGCGGCGUGCUUAACACAUGCAAGUCGAACGGGGCGAAGUGAUAGCUUGCUAUUAUGGAGCCUAGUGGCAAACGGGUGAGUAACGCGUAGGCAACCUGCCCUUCAGAUGGGGACAACACCUCGAAAGGGGUGCUAAUACCGAAUGACGUUUCCUGGUCGCAUGACCUGGAAACCAAAGGCCGGGCAACCGGUCACUGAAGGAUGGGCCUGCGUCUGAUUAGCUAGUUGGUGGGGUAACGGCCCACCAAGGCGACGAUCAGUAGCCGGUCUGAGAGGAUGAACGGCCACAUUGGGACUGAGACACGGCCCAAACUCCUACGGGAGGCAGCAGUGGGGAAUCUUCCGCAAUGGGCGCAAGCCUGACGGAGCAACGCCGCGUGAGUGAAGAAGGUUUUCGGAUCGUAAAGCUCUGUUGAGAGGGACGAGAGGCAAGGCUAGGAAAUGAGCUUUGUAGGACGGUACCUUUCGAGGAAGCCACGGCUAACUACGUG
rnacentral:rRNA from 1 species